rnacentral:rRNA from 1 species
GACGAACGCUGGCGGCGUGCCUAACACAUGCAAGUGGAGCGACGAACCAGGCUUCGGCCUGGGGCAAAGCCGCGAACGGGUGAGUAACACGUGGGUAACCUGCCCCGAUGAUUGGGACAACCCGAGGAAACUCGGGCUAAUACCGAAUGUGCCCUCCGACCAUAAGGUCGGCUGGGGAAAGGAAGCUUCGGCCUUCGCAUCGGGAUGGGCCCGCGGCCCAUUAGCUUGUUGGUGAGGUAAC